rnacentral:lncRNA from 1 species
CUAGUCAUUCUACUCUGUCCUAAAGAUUCAACUAGCUGAGAAAGGCCACCUGAUCCUAAAGACCCUGACUAUGAACCUCUCAAGAACUGACCACUACCCUGCUUGUUAUAUUAACUAUAACCUGAUUGACCUCUAUCCAUGAUUUGUAGUACUGCAUGAAUGAGCCUACUAAACUAACCUUGUUCUGAUAAGGCUAAUAUGGAAGGUAUCUAACUUAAGAACCUCUGCC